rnacentral:rRNA from 1 species
GGGGAAUCUUGGACAAUGGGCGCAAGCCUGAUCCAGCCAUGCCGCGUGAGUGAUGAAGGCCCUAGGGUUGUAAAACUCUUUCGUGGGGGACGAUAAUGACGGUACCCCAAGAAGAAGCUCCGGCUAACUUCGUGCCAGCAGCCGCGGUAAUACGAAGGGGGCUAGCGUUGUUCGGAUUUACUGGGCGUAAAGCGCGUGUAGGCGGGUCGUUAAGUUGGGGGUGAAAUCCCGGAGCUCAACUCCGGAACUGCCUUCAAAACUGGCGACCUGGACUCAAGCAGAGGCAAGUGGAAUUGCAAGUGUAGAGGUGAAAUUCGUAGAUAUUCGCAGGAACACCAGUGGCGAAGGCGACUUGCUGGGCGUGUAGUGACGCUGAGACGCGAAAGCGUGGGGAGCAAAC